GCUCUGAGAGCCCACCCCGGACUCCUGCUCAAGGUCUGGAAGGGUCGGACCGGGAGCCGGGCCUCGCGGUCCUCACCCGAGAGCGGCUGUCUCUCUCGUGCCAGCUCCCCCUCAACGUCCCAAACCCACUGCAGCUCGAGGCGCCAUCACUGGCCGCAGGAGCCCUGGUAGUCGUUUGGGGUCUCUGAGCCUCUCUCCUCGCCGUCCUCCUCCUCGGAAGGUCACUUCCACCUGCAGUUAUCACCUGGAGGGAGAGGUUUCUGAGCCUCGAGCUUUGGGCAUGGAGGAGCGGCUCCGCACCUGGAACUCCUGCAGCAUCUGGAAUAUCUGAAUCUUCACGAGCUCUCCUGGAGUCAACUUGAUCACCAGAGGGCAGUAUCUGCCUCUCCCAGAGAUGCCCAGAGAAGUUCCCGCCAGAAUGCGCCUGACCUGACCUCAGUUCUCAGUCCGCUGGCACUUGGAUUGCAGCCCACUGUGCUCUGGGGAUGUCUCUGCCUCAAGAAUCUCCCAAAGCUCUGCUGUUGUCGUUCGAGCAGACAGAGCAGAGCCAGCGGGGCGAGCCGGCCGUCACUUCACAGGCCUCAGCAGCUCCCGGCUUCUGCUUUCUCCUCACACCCCUCCCAACACGAACGUGCCCCCAAAGCUGCACCCCCCACGCCCCAUAUACCCCGUCAGUCUCUGGAGCAGUUUGCAUUGCUUCUGAUAAUUCAGCAAACUUUGGUGAAGCUUCCACUGAGGCACUUGCCUCCCUGCUUAUGAGAGAGCAAAGGGCUUUAAAACUUCUGUGCAAUUCCUGCCACUCAGGUCUUAGGGACCUUCAUCUGACCUGAUUUGUAGACACACCAGGUUUAGAGGCAUUUUAGUUUUACUUACACUAAUAUAUUUCAUACUCAACUCCACUUAUUAUUCUUAGCUAUUGCAUAAAAAUGCUUUUAAUACCAAAGACAUUAACUCAUUAGAUGGAACCAAAAAAUGAAACACGGAUAAAGUUAAGUAUCACACAAUUCGCAUAUCUUAAAUUUUAAUUAAAAAAAAAAAGGUCUCUAAGCAGUCAGUGAAGGCCAACUCCUCCAGGAAGCUGGCUAAGUGAACUAUAAUUUUUUAUUCCCCAUGUGAUGAACAAACACAAGAGACUCUACACAUGGACAUCACCAGAUGGUCAAUACCAAAUCAGAUUGAUUGCAUUCUUUGCAGCUGAAGAUGGAAAAGGUCUAUACAGUCAGCAAAAACAAGAC